CAAAGGUUGAUUCCGGUGGCGGAUGGGCAUGCGUCGCAUUAGUUAGUUGGCGGUGUAACGGACCACCAAGACGACGAUGCGUAGGGGUUCUGAGAGGAAGGUCCCCCACACUGGUACUGAGACACGGACCAGACUCCUACGGGAGGCAGCAGUGAGGAAUAUUGGUCAAUGGGCGGGAGCCUGAACCAGCCAAGUCGCGUGAGGGAUGACGGCCCUAUGGGUUGUAAACCUCUUUUGCCGGGGAGCAAAGUGCCGCACGUGUGCGGUUUGGAGAGUACCCGGAGAAAAAGCAUCGGCUAACUCCGUGCCAGCAGCCGCGGUAAUACGGAGGAUGCGAGCGUUAUCCGGAUUUAUUGGGUUUAAAGGGUGCGUAGGCGGACGCUUAAGUCAGCGGUAAAAUUGCGGGGCUCAACCUCGUCGAGCCGUUGAAACUGGGUGCCUUGAGUGGGCGAGAAGUACGCGGAAUGCGUGGUGUAGCGGUGAAAUGCAUAGAUAUCACGCAGAACUCCGAUUGCGAAGGCAGCGUACCGGCGCCCAACUGACGCUGAAGCACGAAGGCGUGGGUAUCGAACAGGAUUAGAUACCCUGGUAGUCCACGCAGUAAACGAUGAAUGCUAGUUGUCCGGGGCGAUUGAGUUCUGG
rnacentral:rRNA from 1 species